UACAGAGGUCUCAAGCGUUGUUCGGAUUCAUUGGGCGUAAAGGGUGCGUAGGCGGCCAUGUAAGUGAGGUGUGAAAUCCCUCGGCUCAACCGAGGAACUGCGCUUCAUACUGCAUGGCUUGAGGGAGACAGGGGUAAGCGGAACUGAUGGUGGAGCGGUGAAAUGCGUUGAUAUCAUCAGGAACACCGGUGGCGAAAGCGGCUUACUGGGUCUCUUCUGACGCUGAGGUACGAAAGCUAGGGUAGCGAACGGG
rnacentral:rRNA from 1 species